rnacentral:lncRNA from 1 species
GAAACACAGAUGAGGCAACAAGUUCAUUAUAUUUCUCCCAGGAUAGAAAGAUUUAGAACUGGAAAGAAUCUUUAUAUAUCAUUUGCUCUGACAACUUUAUAGACUGAAGAAAAAUAAAUCCCAAGAAGCUUUAGUGUCACAUCCAAUACCACAGUGGUAAAAAAACAAUAGCUGAGAUUCAAACCCAGGUCCUUGCGUCACUGAGAAAGCUUUCUCUCCACUGGACAAACACUUACACAAGGGUGAAAGGCAUCAUGACUUAGAGACACAUAGAGAACUUGAGUUCAAUUUCCAAUUCUCCCACUAUGCUUUCUUGAGCAGAUCAAUCAAUAGAUCUAGACCUUGGUUUCCUUAGGUUUUAAAUGAGAAGAUUGGGAUAGGUGGCCUCUAAGCUUCUUUUUGAGCUCUGGAUCAAUUAUUCUAUAUAACAUUCUGCGUCUCCACACCAACAGGCUGAAUAAACACAAUGAAUGAACAACCAGGAGGAUAUCAUGUACUUUGAAGACAAACACACAGGACUCCACUCCUCAAAGAAGUCUUCACAAGAGUCUAUUUCAAGGACCCUUUAACAUCACAACUACUGUGAGUCACAGUGUCAAGUACCCCCUCCAUCUACCUGAAACAGAUCCUUAAGACCAAUCUGAACAAUGGAGCCAUCUAAGAUUCCUAUUCAAAGAAACCAUCUCCACUGCUCAUUAAAUUCAAUUAAGUACUUACAAUGAUGUACAAAAUACUCUGCUGUGCUGUGUACAAGGUAAUAGAAAGAUGGGGAAAAAAAACCCAGUUUCUCUUCAUAGUGGCCACCCUGUCAAACACAUAUGUCAGGAUUUUAAGAGGAGAAACAAUGGAUGGUGAAAAUAAUAAGCUAGUGUAGAAAGAAAGAAGAGAGUUGGACUUACUAUUUCAAAAACUGGUGUGAGUAAGAACACUAUUAUUCAAACAUGGAAAAAGAAGCGAGGAAAACAGGCAUCAGAUGAAUCUCAUUCUUAUAUGAGCUAGAAAAAGGAGAGUUGAACACGUAAAGAGUUUGAUGUAGGACUAUAUCAAACCCAAACAUAGUUUGUGAAGGGGCUAGAGGGAGAUGGUGUUAGGAGGAAAGAAAAUGGCAGGAAAUUAAAGCAAAGCAAAAUUCCUAACCUCGAAGGGAAGACAAAGAAGAGGAAAAAAAAGAAGAGAGAAAACAAAAUAGAAAAGAACUAGAAAGUAAAUGGGUUUCCAUCAAAUGGGAGGGAUGACAAUAAAUUGUGGUAUAU